GGAAAGCUUCAAUAUUUAACCAUCACCCGACCCGACAUACAGUUUGCUGUUAACUUCAUUUGCCAAAGGAUGCAUUCUCCUACUACAGCAGAUUUUGGUUUGCUCAAACGGAUUCUGAGAUAUGUGAAAGGAACUAUUCACUUGGGCUUACACAUCAAGAAAAACCAGAACUUGUCCCUCGUAGCUUACAGUGAUAGCGACUGGGCUGGGUGUAAGGAAACAAGACGCUCGACAACCGGGUUCUGUACACUACUUGGAUGCAACCUCAUUUCGUGGUCAGCCAAGAGACAAGAAACAGUGUCAAAAUCUAGCACAGAAGCAGAGUAUCGAGCUCUUACGGCAGUAGCUCAAGAGCUUACUUGGCUGUCUUUUCUGCUUAGGGAUAUUGGAGUUACACAAACCCAUCCAACCUUGGUGAAAUGUGACAAUCUAUCAGCAGUUUAUCUAAGCGCCAAUCCUGCUCUUCAUAACAGGUCUAAGCACUUUGACACAGAUUAUCAUUACAUCAGAGAACAAGUUGCUUUGGGUCUUGUGGAGACAAAACACAUAUCUGCAACGCUGCAACUUGCAGACAUUUUCACAAAACCGCUACCAAGACGAGCCUUCAUUGAUCUCAGAAUCAAACUUGGUGUAGCUGAACCACCCACCACAAGUUUGAGGGGGAAUGUGAGUGAGAUGUCUGAAGCUAAGGAGAUGGGCCAAACCCAUAACAAAUCAAGUCCAACUAUAAAGCCUGGUCAACAAAUACAGAAGAUGACAAAGAUCAAAAGCUGUCUCUCAUCCGUACAUGUACCUGCAGGAAACAUUGAAAGAGAAAGGAAGACGCUCCUCUAAAACUAAUUCAAUCCUCUUUCAUCCUUAUCUAAUAACCAAAAAUUACAUACAUCUGUAUAGUGUCGAGAGUGUUCUAGAUCCUUCUCCCUCAAUCUCUAUAAAAAGAAGAAUGUAAUCUCAUUGUAAUUAUUAUUGAAAAACAGAGUAAUAUUAUUAAAAGGUUCAAAUUUUCUCUUCUUUCUCACUGCUAGCUCACCAUCAUGCCAAUUAUCAAUAGAUGUGUAUAUUUAUUACAAUUUGGUCCAUUUGGAUACAGUAUCGUCUGUAUCUUACACGAAUAUGUAUUAUAUCUAGCUAGCUUCUCGCUAUAUAUAGAGGGUUUAUUAAUAGUAAUACAAAAAUUGACUAGCAAAUUUCAGCCAUAUACUAUCUGCGGCGGAUUCUACAAAACCAGUUUUGUUUUCACUGAAAAACUAACAAUAUUAACAAUGUAGUUUUUAUGGGGUUUUCGGUUUAAACUCCUGCAUUCUUUGUCAAUGUUACUAUUAGUUGAAUUGUGUGUGAUUUUGAAUCUGUUAUUAGU
rnacentral:sRNA from 1 species